CGGCAAAACUAUCGAAAGGUAGUGACGCAAAGCUAUAGGGACUACUUCCUUUAUGGAAAUGUCAGCCAGUUGC
rnacentral:ncRNA from 1 species